AUUGAACGCUGGCGGCAGGCCUAACACAUGCAAGUCGAACGGUAACAGGAAACAGCUUGCUGUUUCGCUGACGAGUGGCGGACGGGUGAGUAAUGUCUGGGAAACUGCCUGAUGGAGGGGGAUAACUACUGGAAACGGUAGCUAAUACCGCAUAACGUCGCAAGACCAAAGAGGGGGACCCUCGGGCCUCUUGCCAUCGGAUGUGCCCAGAUGGGAUUAGCUUGUUGGUGGGGUAACGGCUCACCAAGGCGACGAUCCCUAGCUGGUCUGAGAGGAUGACCAGCCACACUGGAACUGAGACACGGUCCAGACUCCUACGGGAGGCAGCAGUGGGGAAUAUUGCACAAUGGGCGCAAGCCUGAUGCAGCCAUGCCGCGUGUAUGAAGAAGGCCUUCGGGUUGUAAAGUACUUUCAGCGGGGAGGAAGGGAGUAAAGUUAAUACCUUUGCUCAUUGACGUUACCCGCAGAAGAAGCACCGGCUAACUCCGUGCCAGCAGCCGCGGUAAUACGGAGGGUGCAAGCGUUAAUCGGAAUUACUGGGCGUAAAGCGCACGCAGGCGGUUUGUUAAGUCAGAUGUGAAAUCCCCGGGCUCAACCUGGGAACUGCAUCUGAUACUGGCAAGCUUGAGUCUCGUAGAGGGGGGUAGAAUUCCAGGUGUAGCGGUG
rnacentral:rRNA from 1 species